rnacentral:rRNA from 1 species
UACGUAGGGUGCGAGCGUUGUCCGGAAUUACUGGGCGUAAAGAGCUCGUAGGUGGUUUGUCGCGUUGUUCGUGAAAACUCACAGCUCAACUGUGGGCGUGCGGGCGAUACGGGCAGACUAGAGUACUGCAGGGGAGACUGGAAUUCCUGGUGUAGCGGUGGAAUGCGCAGAUAUCAGGAGGAACACCGGGGGCGAAGGCGGGGCUCGGGGCAGUAACUGACGCUGAGGAGCGAAAGCGUGGGGAGCGAACAGG